rnacentral:rRNA from 1 species
UACAGAGGUCUCAAGCGUUGUUCGGAUUCAUUGGGCGUAAAGGGUGCGUAGGCGGCGCGGUAAGUCGGGUGUGAAAUCUUGGAGCUUAACUCCGAAACUGCAUUCGAUACUGCCGUGCUUGAGGACUGGAGAGGAGACUGGAAUUUACGGUGUAGCGGUGAAAUGCGUAGAUAUCGUAGGGAAGACCAGUGGCGAAGGCGGGUCUCUGGACAGUUCCUGACGCUGAAGCACGAAGGCCAGGGGAGCAAACGGG